UACGGAGGGUGCAAACGUUGCCCGGAAUCAUUGGGCGUAAAGCGCACGCAGGCGGCCUUGCAAGUCGGAUGUGAAAUCCCUCGGCUUAACCAAGGAAGUGCAUUCGAAACUGCAAGGCUUGAGUACUGGAGAGGGUCGCGGAAUUCUCGGUGUAGAGGUGAAAUUCGUAGAUAUCGGGAGGAACACCAGUGGCGAAGGCGGCGACCUGGACAGAUACUGACGCUGAGGUGCGAAAGCGUGGGGAGCAAACAGG
rnacentral:rRNA from 1 species